rnacentral:rRNA from 1 species
GAGUAAUGCGUGACCAACCUGCCCCAUGCUCCAGAAUAGCUCUUGGAAACGGGUGGUAAUGCUGGAUGCUCCAACUUGACGCAUGUCUUGUUGGGAAAGUGUUUAGUGGCAUGGGAGUGGGGUCGCGUCCUAUCAGCUUGUAGGGCGGGGUAAUGGCCCACCUAGGCUUCGACGGGUAGCCGGCCUGAGAGGGCGGACGGCCACAUUGGGACUGAGAUACGGCCCAGACUCCUACGGAGGCAGCAG